ensembl:snoRNA F46F11.12 ncRNA
ACGUAAAUGAAGAAAUACCAUCCUUGCUCUGCGAGUCGUUGAGCAAUCACUUGAGAACUCUGAUGAGGUAUUGUAGCAUCGGGUUACGGUAGCCGAGUCAGUUGAUUCUCAUCAUGUGGCACUUCGACGGUGAACAGUUAUGGCCUCUGAUACGU